rnacentral:lncRNA from 1 species
ACACUGGGACGAGGAAACUGAGCUCCGGGCACAGCUCAGCCCGUGGGAAUUGCCCAACUGGGCUGUCGCAAUGGGCUAGGAGGCCAGGGUCGGCCCUGCCGCUGGCUGCCAGGACCAGGCCUCCUGGCCACCCUAAGCGCCUAGAAUCUGGGGACAAUAGCGGCCAAGCAGUUAACAUCUGCUCUGCGAUGGCGGUAAAAAGGAAAGCAAAAUUUCGAUCUAUUUUUCUGGGAAGAGAGUAAGAGAUUUGGGCUGUCCCGGCAGGACCCGAGCUUUGCAACACACCGGUGUUCCUUUAAGUCCAAAAGAGGGCCGAGAAACCAGCUGGCCCACAGUUCACAGAACAUCCCAGCAGGAACCCGUACCCCUGUGGAGACUGCUGAGAAACUGGAGCCUAUCCAGGCCACGGCCACGGCCGGGGAUCAGCCCCAACCUACGGAGCCCAUUAACAGUCGCUACCUGGUAAUUUCUAAAGCACCCGCUGGGUGGGUGCGUGGUCCACGGGGGGCCACAAAAGCCAAGGACACAAGUUCACUGCCUGCAAGGAGCUUGCCCGUGGGAGAUAAAGCUGGUAACGGGCUCGACACCCAGGCAGCCCUUCCGGGAGGCGGAGAUGGGCUCCAGAAAUGAACAGGAUUCAGAGGCUGCAUCCAAGGACGGAGAGACCAAAGUCCUGGUUGCACCAUUUGGCAGCGUGUCGCCUGACCUCCAGGAGCCUGGGUGUCUUUGUCUUUUAAAUGGGAUUCACAGAGACCCUACCUCUUAGGGUUAGCGUGAGGGCAGAGGGAAAUAAGGGGAGUUCCCGUGGUGGCUCAGCAAUAAUGAACUUGGCUAAUAUCCCUAAGGACGAGCGUUCAAUCCUUGGCCUUGCUCAGGGGGUUAAAGAUCUGGUGUUGCUGUGAGUUGUGGUGUGGGUCACAGACAUGGCUUGGAUCCUGUGUUGCUGUAGCUGUGGUGUAGGCUGGACGCCGUAGAUCUGAUUCGACCCCUAGCCUGGGAACUUCCAUAUGCCUUGGGCGUGACCCUAAAAAGGAAAAAAAAAAAAAAAAAAAGGAAAUUCAGGAAAACAACAUGAAUGAACCUCAAAGACAUGACCCCAGUUGAAAGAGGGCAGGUGUGCAAAGUGGCACACGGAAUGGUUCUUUUCCUAGGAAGUGGCCAGAGCGUUAAGUAAAUCCCUAGAGAUGAGAAGCAGAUUAGUGGUUGCCAAGGGCCGGGGGAGGGGAAAGGGGUGUCUUUUUGGGGUGAUGACAAUAUGUUGGAACUAGAUAGGGGGUGAUUGCAUGGGAAUAGGUGAAAGGUCACGGGACAGUGCAUUUUAAAACGGUGCAUUUCGGAAUUCCCUGGUGGCCUAGCGAUUAAAAGAGGCAGAGUCCUUCAAUCCCCAGCCUGAGGUCGAGGCCAAAAACAUUAAAAUGAAAUCAAAUGGUUCAUUUUUUGGUAUGUGAAUGUCACCUCAAUUAAAAAAAUGUCUUGAAGGAAAUUUGUUUGCACAAACCUAGUGAAUGGGACACUCGCCAGGGCCAGACCCCAGACACUCUGCCUCCUGUCACCCUCCAGCCUGGGCUGAGUGAGCUGGGUCACCCUCUGUCCAGGCCUGGACACCCUCAGCCUGGCCGGUGGGGCCUAGCGGAGCCCAGACAUGGGGGCAGGGUGGGGGGCUGCCCCACACAGUUCGGGGAGAGGCCAGUGUCCCCAGGCUGCUGGGAGGACCAAGUUACAUCAGAGGUCGUGUGCGAGAUGCGUUACAAAGAGAGAGGGAUGAGCUCCAGGUGCACUGGCUGCACCUGCCAUGGAGCACCUGCCGUGGCGGGACGAGGGGAGCACGAGGGGAUGUGCGCAGCCAGGGAGCCCACAGGGGUCAAGGCAGAGUCCCCGCCUGGCCCAGACCCGGGGACAGUCAGCUCCUCUGCCCACCCCCACCCCCCUCCCUCUCCUGGCCUCCCUGGCUCCCCCUCAGAGUCCCAUCCUAAUCCUGCCAGGAGAGGGAGCCCAGGGCAGUGGGUCUCCGUCCUGUGUCCCCCCUGCAGGCAGCCAGGCCAGAGAGAGAGCUGUCCAGCCCGCAGCCACGGAGGAGGCGCCCGCCACCCAGCUGACAUGGGGGCGGGUCUCAGGCUUUCCCCACUGGGCCACCACUGCCAGGGCAGCCUCCUGGGCUUUGGGCCACCAGGCGGAAAGGAUAAAAAGAGGCCACAUGCCUCCUGCCACGUGGAGGCAUCCACGCACCAGGGGCAACACUGUCACACAGAACUCGGGUGCCAGAGGACCACGUGGGCAUUCAGCAGGGCGAGUUGGCAGGACCGACACCACUGCCUGUUGGGAUCCCAGGACUCGGGGAGGCCAUGCUGCCGAGGGUGCCCUAGCCGGCCCGGCCCAGGCUGGGAGCCACCAGUAUGAGACGCCACUUGACUGGCAAGAAACUCACCUUCCGAGGAACCUGCCAGUCUUCAAACUCAUAAAUGCCCUCCAGAGUUAGUGACCCCUGAACUACGGGCAGAUGUUAAGUGCCCAUAACCCUUUCCGGCUGGUGAUAACCCCGCGGCACUCUUGGCUUUUCUUGCGAUGGGUUUGCUGUUUUCUCCAAGGAGUGGGUUUCAUCAGAUCCGGGUGCCCAAGACCGUGGCAAGGACCCAGCCACGGAAGGAGGGGCUGGACGGCGGCUCACAGUCCCCUUGUGCAGCUCCAGCGCGGGGCAAAAUCCCGCACAGGCCUGCGGUGAGGCCUCGCAAACAAGCAGCAGCAUGAUCCUGCCGGCCAGCUCAGCCCCCAGCCUUGGCCCAGAGCGGCUCUGGCCGCCCCGCCUCUGGCUCCCCUCCUGCAGCCCAUGCCGACCGCCCGCCACCAGAGGCCUUGCCAGCCGCCGAGGCAGCCCCUUGCGUCCCGUCCCCAGAGCCCUCAGCAGCCCUGAAGUCAUUCUGCUCCAGGAUCUGCUCCGUGUUUAUGUCCUGCCUCGGUCUCCGGGGGGCCUGACGUGCUCCCUGCAGCUUGUCCCCAGCACCCAGCCCCCGCGGGAACAAGGACCCGAGACGGAAACGGCAAAAGCGCUGUGAGCAAGACACCUGCCCGCGGAUCCCAGCCCCGCUGCCAGCUAUCUUUCUCCAUCGCUUGGCCGGCCCGAGGAUCUCAAGAAUGGAAAGGGGUUUAGGGGGUCUGGAGACCACCCCACCACCCAAGAAAGGAGCCCGAGGUUAACUCCCACGUUCUCAGGAGAGCCGCCGACGUGUUGAUGCAAGCGCCAAAUAAUCGAAUUGCAGGUGGGGGUGGGGAGGAGAUAAUUGAAUAUCAGCGAGGGGCUGUUGUCAGGUCAGCCAGUUCCUGGCGUGUUCUCGUAUGUAUGUUUUCUGAGAGAGCCCCCAAAUAAAACAGUUCUAUUAUUUUAUGCC